rnacentral:rRNA from 1 species
CACCGCGGUUAUACGAGGGGCUCAAAUUGAUAUUACACGGCGUAAAGCGUGAUUAAAAAACAAACAAACUAAAGCCAAACACUUCCCAAGCUGUCAUACGCUACCGGACAAAACGAAGCCCCACUACGAAAGUAGCUUUAACACCUUUGAACUAACGACAGUUGAGAAA